rnacentral:misc_RNA from 1 species
GAAAUGCGAUUCGUAAUGUGAAUUGCAAAUUCAGUGAAUCAUCGAGUCUUUGAACGCACAUUGCGCCCCCUGGUAUUCCGGGGGGCAUGCCUGUCCGAGCGUCAUUUCUGCCCUCAAGCACGGCUUGUGUGUUGGGCCCCGUCCUCCGAUCCCGGGGGACGGGCCCGAAAGGCAGCGGCGGCACCGCGUCCGGUCCUCGAGCGUAUGGGGCUUUGUCACCCGCUCUGUAGGCCCGGCCGGCGCUUGCCGAUCAACCCAAAUUUUUAUCCAGGUUGACCUCGGAUCAGGUAGGGAUACCCGCUGAACUUAAGC